rnacentral:misc_RNA from 1 species
GUUGCCUAAGUUCUGCGCCUCCCUCUCGACCUCACUGGCUAGGCCCACAGGAACGACGAGUCGAUACGCGUGGAGCCAGUUCGACUGCAGGAGUCUUUCGCAUUUUAGAGCUAUGCCAUGAAAGCUUGACGGAGACCCCAUUCCGGGUUUCAAAUGAAGUUUUCCUUUUCCAGGACCCUGAUGAUUAUGAGCCAUAGGUGGUGCUAUUCUACUUGGCUGGCACCGCACGGCAUCAACGAGUACAACGGACUCCACAAUCGUACGUAAUAACGUACACGAGAAGAACUUCGAGAUGAAAAAUACACGCCCCUAUCCUGCAACAACUGCUGCCAAAACCUGAGACGAGUCUUUUUCAUGUUACUCAUAAUAUAGAUCCGAACCGCCAUUCCGUAGUGAAC